GUUUAUUGGAAUAAAAAACCAUAAAGGUUAUGAACAUUGUACUCCACAAUGUCUCCAUAAUGUACAGAUGUUGCUGGGAUGGUUUUGUUGUUAAUAGGUCGUCGAACGCCAGCAUUGUUGAUCUUGUACGGAGGAUCAUCAAGUUUAGAGAAAGGUGUGGGAGAAGGAUCUAUGAAGUUGGAUAUCUCAUUCAUGUCAAGCCAGAGACCAUCAAAGGGGAUAAGAUCUCGAAACGUUUUGAUCUCAUUUCUCCAGAACUCUCUACCACCCGGAUUUAGAAAGUCGGGGAAGUAGACUGAUCCAGGCCAGCCCCUCCCCAUGUAAGGAAUGCCACCAUGU
rnacentral:misc_RNA from 1 species